AUUGAACGCUGGCGGCAGGCCUAACACAUGCAAGUCGAACGAGUGGCGGACGGGUGAGUAAUGUCUGGGAAACUGCCUGAUGGAGGGGGAUAACUACUGGAAACGGUAGCUAAUACCGCAUACCAUCGGAUGUGCCCAGAUGGGAUUAGCUAGUAGGGGGGGGAAAGGCUCACCUAGGCGACGAUCCCUAGCUGGUCUGAGAGGAAGACCAGCCAAACUGGAACGUAGACACGGUCCGUACUCCUACGGGAGGCAGCAGUGGGGAACAUUGCACAAUGGGCGCAAGCCUGAUGCAGCAAUGCCGCGUGUAUGAGGAAGGCCUUCGGGUUGUAAAGUACUUUCAGCGGGGAGGCGUUACCCGCAGAGGAAGCACCGGCUAACUCCGUGCCAGCAGCCGCGGUAAUAC
rnacentral:rRNA from 1 species